GGCUCCAUGGCCCAGUGGUCAAGGCGCGGCUCUCAUAAGGCCGAGAGGGGAGUUCAAUUCUCCCUGGAGCCA
rnacentral:tRNA from 1 species